UUUCUUUGGACUGACAAGACAGGACAGAAUUAUUUAGUAUUUGAAGAAACAAGUUCAGAUAAGAGAGAAAUAGUAGAAGUUUAAUUUAAAGGUUAGUAUUAAUUUGUUAUAGAAGAUAAACUUAAAUAAUAAUAGUAAAUGCCUAAUUUUCUAUUCCUGGUAAUGAUUAAUGAAUAAUUCAACAUAUAAUAUUUAAUAAUAAAUCUGCCUUUUAAUUAUUAUGGAUUACAGGGCGUGACAUAAUGAAUGUCAGCCAUCUUUGUUUUCUGCUGUCAAAACUAUAUAUUUUAUGAUUUAAGUGAAGUUUCUGUUUUAGUUGUUAGCUUAUCUGAGUUAAUAAUUUAGCUACGUUUAAUCAAUUGUUUUUAUGACGAACUACACCAAAGCAUUGGUUUUGGAAUGAAUUAGUUUAAAUGUUUUAGUUCUGAAUGUAUAAUAGAUAUAUGGAAACCAUAUACUAAACAAUUGAUAUUAUGAAUUUAUUUUUAUGCAGGUUUCCCCAGUUGUUAUGGAAUAUAUCAACACAAUGCCUACGUGUAAUUCAUAUGGGUGUGUCUUGUGUAUUAUGUUUACAUGAAUAAAAGAUGAUGCCCUAACCCGUA